CGGAGCGUGAUGUAAAAGGGAAGAAAAGCUUGAAGCAAAGAUGCAAUGAGUCAUAUUCAAGCACCAAUAUCGACAUAAUUCCAUUUGUGAGUUAAAACAGCAUGUAUAUACAGUGCAGUUUGUAAGUAUUUGGACAGUGACACAAUUUUUGUUUUGGCUCUGUAUUCCAGAACAUUGGAUUUGAAAUUAAAUGAUGGCUACGAGGUUGAGACAUACUUGACCAGUUUAACGGUAUGUGCAAUUAAAUCAAACCAGAUCAAAUAUUUUCAAAUUCAGCCAAGCACACCUUAAUGGUGACUUUAAAAAGACUGGAGCCAGGCAGUGCCUGUUUUUAAUUUUAGAUGGAAUAAAGACACGGUCCAGGAAAAAAGCAGCUCAGCUAGCUCCCUUUACCGUCACUGAGAAGAGGGUUCGGGGGAAAGAGCCCAAAAACCGGAUAUGAAUAAGGAAUUCAAAUCAGCGAUUAUGGGAAGCAAUAACAUGCUGUAACAUGGCAGGGACACUGAGACAAAGUACCGCCGGCCGGGUACUUCUCCACAAAGAUGUCCCCUUUGAAUCCACCGAUAACUAUUUCAGCUCAGGUCCCUGAGCUGGUUGCUUAAACUUUGGCCCAGAAAGGGAUCAGAUUGGAUCUCUCCGUCUUAUGCUGAGGUGAGGAGGAGCAGUGGCCCUGUCUGGGUGGUUUGGGAUAGCGGGCAGCGGACGGACUGGAUGAGGAAGAGAGAGUAGAUGAAAGGCUGAGGGAACCUAGGAUUCACAACCUCCCCUCUUUCCAGAACUGCCGGUCAGAGGGCAGACAUCUGCACUACAAGCAAAUGAGGCUUUCACACAGAUCCUCCUUUAUGGAGAUGUGAAGGUCUGUCUUUACCCCCAGUCCCUUCUCAAGGUUGGGGUGCUGUGCAGCAUUCAGACUCAACAGCAAACAGACAAAAACUAAAACUUUGGAGAGCUGAGAGACGUGGCUCUGUCUCCUGACUGUCCCUGUGUCCCUGUCACAUUCCUCAAAGACACCAGAGUUCUGGCUGGAGAUGAGUCUGAAUGAGAGUUAAGGUCACGAGAGAUCAAACUCAUCUUUGCACAGCCUCAUCCCUCUGCCACCAGACAUCACCCAACACAUCCCCCUUCCCGUAUCCGUGCCACAAAACAAAACAGCCUGACGCGGUUUGUGGUGAGGUCCGUUUAGCUCCGUUUGAUGUUUUCGGGGCUGCUGUUCCUGUGUUUUUAGAGCACCGAGUCCCAUAACAUGACAUCCAGAACAUUUACGUAAUCCAGCUUCACAGAUUUCAGUUACGGGCACUGCAGUGUUUCCUGUACAUUGGUGUCAUGUGUCAUGCAGUCCCACCAAUCCCACGAUCACAACAUAUGCUGGGAAUAUAUGACAGAGAGAGGAACUCAAAGAGAAUUUCCUGAUCAUUAAGAAGACAAUCAAUUUAUGACUUAUUAAAUCAUUUUAAUGAGUCACUAUGUUAUCCAAUUUGUUAAUUAAAUCUUCUGUGCAAGUGAUAAUCCCAUCUGUGUAUCCCUGUGUGUUGAAUAAUUGCUGAUACAUUUUAAUCACACUUUACAUUCCUGUGCACAUGAGUGCAAUGUAUUUCAGGAGGUGGUAGCCUACAUAGGCCUAUGUGAUAUAAAAAAUACAACCUGCGAUGUAUGCUUAUAUUUUUACAUUUUAACAGUAUUUUUCUUUACUUGUGUUUACUUGUUUCCUGAGUCUUGCCAUCAUGGAAAGUACAUAGAAGGAAAUUCUGGUCCUGAAUAAAAAACUUGUUCUAACAAUAAUAAUAAUAAUAAUAAUAAUAAUAAUAACAAUGAACUUCGAACACGAUCUCAGGUUCUCAGACACCAGAACUUGAAGUUUAUACAAUAAUAAAAUAGUAAUUUAUCUUGGCCCUGCAUUAAACAUAAAUGAUACCAUCUUAUCCGCAAGCUGAAAAAAAUGAGUUACAUUGAAAUCUUUAUGCCUAUAUAACUUUAAUCAGUUAAGAGUUUCUUUUUUUUCGGUUCAAUUUAUUUUUGUAAUAUUUUUUGGUUUUGUAUGAGUAUUCAAAUAGCUUUUCAUGUUGUCAUUGUUUUUCUCUUGCCGGAGGCUGUCUGUACGUGCUGUGAACACUUUAAUCAAAAUGGGAUUUUCCCCUGCAAAAAAAUCAAAGACUGCAAACGUGCGAAGACUGAAGUGAUUAGGUAAUCAGGAACAGGAAGAAAAAAAUCUGAGAGGCAAGUAUAAUAUUUCAGUUGAUUCAGUAUUCAGCAUUGCCUCAUUUUUCAAUAUUUGAGGCUGCAGAGUGGGUGCUACUGAAAAGCCUCUGGGGCGCGGCUGAUUGUGGCUUUAAUUU